CGGGUGCGUAACGCGUAUGCAAUCUACCUUUUACAGAGGGAUAGCCCAGAGAAAUUUGGAUUAAUACCUCAUAGUAUAAUUGAAUGGCAUCAUUUAAUUAUUAAAGUCACAACGGUAAAAGAUGAGCAUGCGUCCCAUUAGCUAGUUGGUAAGGUAACGGCUUACCAAGGCUACGAUGGGUAGGGGUCCUGAGAGGGAGAUCCCCCACACUGGUACUGAGACACGGACCAG
rnacentral:rRNA from 1 species